GACGAACGCUGGCGGCGUGCUUAACACAUGCAAGUCGAACGGAAAGGCCCUGCUUUCGUGGGGUGCUCGAGUGGCGAACGGGUGAGUAACACGUGAGUAACCUGCCCUUGACUUUGGGAUAACUUCAGGAAACUGGGGCUAAUACCGGAUAGGAGCUCCUGCUGCAUGGUGGGGGUUGGAAAGUUUCGGCGGUUGGGGAUGGACUCGCGGCUUAUCAGCUUGUUGGUGGGGUAGUGGCUUACCAAGGCUUUGACGGGUAGCCGGCCUGAGAGGGUGACCGGCCACAUUGGGACUGAGAUACGGCCCAGACUCCUACGGGAGGCAGCAGUGGGGAAUAUUGCACAAUGGGCGGAAGCCUGAUGCAGCAACGCCGCGUGCGGGAUGACGGCCUUCGGGUUGUAAACCGCUUUCGCCUGUGACGAAGCGUGAGUGACGGUAAUGGGUAAAGAAGCACCGGCUAACUACGUG
rnacentral:rRNA from 1 species